rnacentral:rRNA from 1 species
CUGGCGGCGUGCCUAACACAUGCAAGUCGAACGAGAAAGUGGAGCAAUCCAUGAGUAAAGUGGCGACCGGGUGAGUAACACGUGACUAACCUGCCUUCGAGUGGGGGAUAACCUCGGGAAACCGGGGCUAAUACCGCAUAAUGCCUACGGGUUAAAGGAGCAAUUCGCUUGAAGAGGGGGUCGCGGCUGAUUAGCUAGUUGGCGGGGUAACGGCCCACCAAGGCGAUGAUCGGUAGCCGGCCUGAGAGGGCGCACGGCCACACUGGAACUGAAACACGGUCCAGACUCCUACGGGAGGCAGCAGUGGGGAAUUUUGCGCAAUGGGGGAAACCCUGACGCAGCAACGCCGCGUGGAGGAUGAAGUCCUUUGGGACGUAAACUCCUUUCGACCGGGACGAUUAUGACGGUACCGGUGGAAGAAGCCCCGGCUAACUUCGUGCCAGCAGCCGCGGUAAUACGAGGGGGGCAAGCGUUGUUCGGAAUUAUUGGGCGUAAAGGGCGCGUAGGCGGUGCGGUAAGUCACCUGUGAAACCUCUGGGCUUAACUCAAAGCCUGCAGGCGAAACUGCCGUGCUGGAGUGU